UACGGAGGGGGCUAGCGUUGUUCGGAAUUACUGGGCGUAAAGCGCACGUAGGCGGCUUUGUAAGUUAGAGGUGAAAGCCCGGAGCUCAACUCCGGAAUUGCCUUUAAGACUGCAUCGCUUGAAUCAUGGAGAGGUGAGUGGAAUUCCGAGUGUAGAGGUGAAAUUCGUAGAUAUUCGGAAGAACACCAGUGGCGAAGGCGGACUCACUGGACAUGUAUUGACGCUGAGGUGCGAAAGCGUGGGGAGCAACAGG
rnacentral:rRNA from 1 species